rnacentral:misc_RNA from 1 species
ACACCUCAACUCUUGCGGUUUUGCCGUGAUGAGCUUGGACUUUGGGGGUCUUGCUGGCCUGUGGUCAGCUCCUCUCAAAUGAAUCAGCUUGCCAGUGUUUGGUGGCGUCACGGGUGUGAUAACUAUCUACGCUUGCGGCUUCCACCAGGUAACCUUCAGUGAUGGAGGUUCGCUGGAGCUCAUAAACGUCUCUCCUCAGCGAGGACAGCUUCUUGAAC